rnacentral:misc_RNA from 1 species
UCACUACUUGCGUAGGCAGUCUGGCUAGAGUCCCCACCAUUACGUGCUGGUAACUAACCACAGGGGUUGCGCUCGUUGCGCCACUUAAGGCAACACCUCACGGCACGAGCUGACGACAGCCAUGCAGCACCUUCCGGCCCGUCCCGAAGGAAAGCUCCCUUUCAGGAGCCGGCAGGCCGGAUUUAGCCCAGGUAAGGUGGGGAUGACGUUUGUCAGUCAA